GGGCCCGCACAAGCGGUGGAGCAUGUGGUUUAAUUCGAUGCAACGCGAAGAACCUUACCUACUCUUGACAUCCAGAGAAUUCGCUAGAGAUAGCUUAGUGCCUUCGGGAACUCUGAGACAGGUGCUGCAUGGCUGUCGUCAGCUCGUGUUGUGAAAUGUUGGUUAAGUCCCGCAACGAGCGCAACCCCUAUCCUUACUUGCCAGCGGGUCAUGCCGGGAACUUUAGGGAGACUGCCGGUGAUAAACCGGAGGAAGGUGGGGACGACGUCAAGUCAUCAUGGCCCUUACGAGUAGGGCUACACACGUGCUACAAUGGUCAGUACAGAGGGUUGCGAAGCCGCGAGGUGGAG
rnacentral:rRNA from 1 species